rnacentral:rRNA from 1 species
UCCCAGACUCCUACGGGAGGCAGCAGUGGGGAAUAUUGCGCAAUGGGCGAAAGCCUGACCCAGCAACGCCGCGUGAAGGAAGAAGGCUUUCGGGUUGUAAACUCCUUUUGUCAGGGACGAAGCAAGUGACGGUACCUGACGAAUAAGCCACGGCUAACUACGUGCCAGCAGCCGCGGUAAUACGUAGGUGGCAAGCGUUAUCCGGAUUUACUGGGUGUAAAGGGCGUGUAGGCGGGACUGCAAGUCAGAUGUGAAAACCACGGGCUCAACCUGUGGCCUGCAUUUGAAACUGUAGUUCUUGAGUACUGGAGAGGCAGACGGAAUUCCUAGUGUAGCGGUGAAAUGCGUAGAUAUUAGGAGGAACACCAGUGGCGAAGGCGGUCUGCUGGACAGCAACUGACGCUGAGGCGCGAAAGCGUGGGGAGCAAACAGGAUUAGAUACCCCAGUAA